GCAUGCAUGGCCGAGUGGUCGAAGGCGGCAGACUCAUAAUCUGCUUUCUAUAAGAACAUCACAGGUUCAAAUCCUGUUGCAUGCA
rnacentral:tRNA from 1 species